ACAUGAUAUUAAUGGUGUACAACA
rnacentral:siRNA from 1 species